rnacentral:rRNA from 1 species
AGCCAGGUUGGUUUCUAUCUUUAGAAAAAUAAAAUAUUUUCGUACGAAAGGAUCAAAUAUUUGAAAUAAUUUCAAUAAAUGAAUAUUAUUAAUUUAAUUAAAUAAAAUUAU